GCGCACGAGGCAGCAAGCUCUCGGCAGCCGGGCUCCGGCUCGGGCUCGGCCUGGGGCUGGGGACUCCGCGGCAGCGGCCCCUGUCACAGGUGUCUCUAGAGCUUUGGGCCCUGGCGGCCCCUCGAGCCCCCGAGGGGCCCGGAGCCCGCCCAGCUCCUUCCCGGCCCUCUGCAGCAGCUCCAGUCCGGAGACCCGCUGGCUGUCGCGUUCCCAGGAGUCAAGACUUUCUAGGGGCCCGGGCGGGGGGGAGGAGGAAUUCUGCCCAGACUCUGCAGUAGUUGGUAGCAGGCAAGCUUUCUCCUGGGUGUCGCCUUGAAAAGUUGCAAAAUUGCUCUUCACCUGUAAGAACAUGCUCUUUAUCUUCCAGUCUCUUCUUGUCAAUUUGGAAAUUGCAGACAGCCCGGCUCAGACUUACCUGUGCGUAUAUUAGAAGUCUUCCCGGUGCCAGGAAUCAACAAAGAGUUGAGUAACGAAGAACUAAUUUAAUCAGCUAAUUUGGAGAAACUAAGUCUUACAACUAUUAUUUAGUUCAUCAAAACAUAUAAAUCUCAAUGAGAACAAUGAAAUAUGUGAUCAUUCUUUUUUUACCAGAAAAGUACUGCUUGAAAUUAUAUUUUAGGGCUAUGAAAAUUUUACUUGAGAUUGAACACAGUAAACUUCAGAUGACUUUUAUAUUAUUUAAGAAAUAGAAGUGUGAAUUAAAUAGUAUUCACCAUAAGCACUUGUUUUAACUUCUUAAUGUUCUGUUACGUAACAUUUUGUUAUCUAGGAUUUCACUAAUUAGUGUUUCUACAUAUGUAUACUACAAUGAUAAUUGAUGUUAUAAUUGAUCAGUCACAAUGAUUUUGAGUUAUUGAGUGACCUUUUUAAUUAUCAAAGAUUUAGUUGUACACAAACCUAGUUUUACUUGAUAUUUGUUUUUAAUUAUUAUUUUAUAAGAAUUGGCAAUCUAUUAGAAAACCAUUAGCUAGAUUAUUUGAAUAAUAUCCAUAUCCUCCAAUCAUGUAAGGUAAUAUAAUUUAUUUUCUUUGCUCCAGUAGACACCUGGGGCAUUUGAAACCUUGAGCAGAUCAUUUUUUCACACUUCCCUCGUCUUAUACAACAAGAUUAUCUUCUGUAAAAUUUAUAAAAUGAAACCAAUAAUAAUAAUGUCUAAAAAAGAAAUGUAAACUAUGAAUAUUUUAUGUUACUGAAGUUUAAAUUUAUAAUUGUUCAGGUAAAGGAAAAAUAAAGAAUUCUAAAUAAAUAGAGAUUAUAGUACAAAAAAUGGAAAUAAUGAAUUAAUAGUCUUUGAGUAUAUUAAUGGAUUUUUUUGAGAAAAGGGAAAAAUAUUGUGUCCACAUAUCAGUCUGUUGCAGUAAUAAAUAAUAUUAUAAUUUCUGCUUUU